rnacentral:tRNA from 1 species
UUUAAUAUGGCAGACUAGUGCAAUGGAUUUAAAUUCCAUUUAUAAAGAUAAAUCUUUUAUUAAAA